rnacentral:lncRNA from 1 species
AUUCGACAUGAGAUUUGGGAGAUGACACAAAACCAAACCAUAUCAGUCUUUAAAGAGUUAAGUUAAAAUAAGCUCUUUAAAGUGGGCCCUAAUCCAGUAUGACUGGUGUUCUUAUAAGAAGAGGAGAUUUGGUCACAGACAUGGUUGCAUGCAGAAUAAAGACUUUUCGAGGACACACUGAGAAGGCAGCCAUCUGCAAAACAAGGAAAGAGUCCUCAGCAGAAACCAGUCCUGCAGACUCCUUGAUCUUGGACUUCCAGCCACUGCAAUUACCAGCAGUCAGUUGCAAUCUGGAAGUUGCAGUCUUAACCACUCUAAAGCUGAAUUAAAGAGAAGUAAAACCAUAAUGAGCAGCCAAGAGGAAGUCCCCAGGGGUCCAGAUGACAGAAUGAAGCAUGCAUGUUGGGGAGAUGAUCAGAACAGGCACCUGGACCCCUGUGGGGUCAAGGGCUCUGCUCUCCCCUACAUGGGAGCUCUGCAGGCUGCUCUCCCCUCUGCACAGGGAACCUGUGUUUGCAACCUGUCUCCCUCCUGGGCCUGCCCAUCGCUGUCCUGACCAGCAGCCUCCAUCAGUAGGAUCCUUUUUGUUUUCUCUUUCUUCUUCCAUUUAUCCACAAGCCUUACUGAGAGCCCACCUUAUGCGCAGCUGCCAAGAGUCCAAACCCCAUCCUCCAAGGUUGGUGGUGUAGGAGAAUUACUGUGUGGGUAAAGGAGACUGGACUCCGUGGGUCCUGCUCUUGCCUCUGGAGAUUCAGCUUCCCCAAUGGCUCCUCUCCCUGAUUAUGAUUGCCAUCUCCAGCCUUGACGCCCCUAUUUCUGGGGUCCUUACAUUUAUGUUUACAGGCGCUGCAGUCUGAAAACAGCUCCCAGAGUGACCCUAAUCAGAUCAUGGUGCCCUCUUGUCCAAAAUCUUUUCAGUGUUUUCCCAAAUCACUCAGGAGCUUACAAGACCCUACCAAGACUGGCUCCCCUGUUCUCCGCUAGUCUCAUCUUCUCUGAUUCUCUCUCUUCUAUCUCGGGUACUAACACACUGGCAGCCUUUCUGAGCUGGAUGCUCCCUUACAUCCCUUGGAUACUCCAAGCACGCCCUGCCUUGGGCCUUCUGCACUUGCUAUUGGCUGCCUGCAAUGUCGUUGGCCAGUCAGCCACAUGACCCAGUCCCUCACUUCCUUUGGGUCUUUGCUCAAGCUCACAUUCUCAGUGAGGCCUUUUCUGACCUCCAGUGUUUAAAAUCUCACCCCUUAUCACAGACAACCCCAAUCCCCUUCCCUACUUUAUUUUCCCCAUUAUUCUCCUUACCAUCUGACAUACCACGUAUUUAUUUCUUCUUUGCCUCCCCCUUCUAGCUUACUAGAAGGUAAGCUCCAAGAAGGUGGGAGUUUUUCUGCUUUGUUGCACUGUCACCAGCACCCAGAACAGCACCCAUAGCAUCAUGUCUGCCAUUUGUUGAAUGAAUAUGCUCAAAGUACAGCUAGUGAAUUGGAAAAUGAACCCGUGAUGGGGAGUAAUUACGAAAAAAGAUUCAUGUGUUCUUUCCUAAGUGACUCAUUUGUUCUUUAAAAACAGUCAUGUGCUGCAUAAUGACAUUUUGGUCAAUAACAGACUGCAGAUAUGAUGGUGGUUCCAUAAGAGUAUAAUGUGAUAUUUUUACUGUAUUUUUUCUAUGUUUAGAUUCACAAAUGCUUACCAUUGUGUUACAAUUGCCUACAGUAUUCAGUACAGUCACAGGCUGUAUGGGUUUGUAGUCUAGGAGCAGUAAGCUAUACCAUAGAGCCUACGUGUGUCGUAGGUCAUACCAUCUAGGUUUGUGUAAGUGCACUCCAUGACGUUUGCACAACAUCACCUAAUGAUGCAUUUUCUCUGAGGCAAUGCAUGACUGUAUCCGAAGCUGAAAAUGAGUUUGUUGCCCUCCCACUUCCGGAAAUGGAUAAUUCCUACAGUACCUGUAUCAGGCCCACCCUGUUCACCUCAUUCUUCUUCCUCGGUUCUGAUGGCAAGUGGUUUCCAACUCAUAGCUGUGGACCUACGAAACACUUGCAUGGCUUUCUGUAAGGCUGGGCAAGUCAGUGAAGGUGAAAUGUAAAGCCCACUCCCUACAAACGACUAGUAUUCACUCACCUCUCUCACCCCCAGUUACUGAUAUAGUUUAACAAAUAGCUAUGAUUACCUCUGCAGAAAAGGGUUUUUAGAAAAUUACAUUCUGUUUGUUUUUAUUAUUGUUGCAAAAAGAGAUAAAAUCUUGGCAUCUUUGAAUUUACACUGCUUAAGGUUACCAAACAGAAUGGGCAGUAGAAUCCUAUGUUUACAGUGUUUAUAUGUAUAAAUGUACAUGUGUAUAUAUGUAUAAAGAUUAAAGAAUACAACAAUAGGCUAAUAUUUGGGUAUGAUGAAAAUAAUAUAAUUUUUAUUCAACUGUUUUUUCCAUAAUAAGUGUAUAUUAUGUAUAUGAUAUGAAGAACACCAAUCAUUCUUCUUUUUUUAAAAAAAAAGAAAGGCUGGGUGCAGUGGCUCACGCCUGUAAUCCUAGCACUUUGGGAGGCCAAGGCGGGUGGAUCACCUGAGGUCGGGAGUUCGAGACCAGCCUGACCAACAUGGAGAAACCCCGUCUCUACUAAAAAUGCAAAAUUAGCCGGGUGUGGUGGCGCAUGUGCCUAAUCCCAGCUACUUGGGAGGUUGAGGCAGGAGAAUCGCUUGAACCCGGGAGGCAGAGAUUGUCGUGAGCUGAGAUUGCGCCAUUGCACUCCAGCCUGGGCAACAACAGCGAAACUCUGUCUCAAUAAAUAAAUAAAUAAAUAAAUAAAUAAAUAAAUAAAUAAAAAGAAAAAAGAAAAAGCCCUUGUUUUAAUUGGGCACAUACUAAAGGUCAGCUUUCUAAUAUAGGGAAACAAGAAAAUGAUCCUUUUGAAUGUGACUAUUAUUUUUACUUUGUGAUUUCAGCUUUUACGUUGGACUCAAUAAACUAAAAAAAGGCAAACUGAAAAAAAAAAAAAAAAAAAA